AGCAGUAUCAGGACGCCUUCAACGACGAGCUGGAGUCCUUUAAGGAGCGAGUGCGCGGACGAGCCAAGAUCCGCAUCGAGAAAGCCUUGAAGGAGUACGAGGAGGAGGAGCGGCAGAAGCGCCUGGGUCCCGGCGGCCUGGAUCCAGUGGAGGUGUACGAGUCGCUGCCUGCGGAGAUGCAGAAGUGCUUCGACGAUAAAGACAUUCAGAUGCUGCAGGACGCCAUCAGCAGGAUGGACCCGACGGAGGCCAAACACCACAUGAAGCGCUGCAUCGAGUCGGGACUGUGGGUCCCGAACGCACGAGCGGACGAAGAGGGAGAGAAAGAUAAAGAGGAAGGCGAUGAGCCGCAGUAUGAGGAAGUGAAGAAAGAAGAGCAGUGACCCCUGAC